rnacentral:rRNA from 1 species
GAUGAACGCUGGCGGCGUGCCUAAUACAUGCAAGUCGAGCGAACAGACGAGGAGCUUGCUCCUCUGACGGUAGCGGCGGACGGGUGAGUAACACGUGGAUAACCUACCUAUAAGACUGGGAUAACUUCGGGAAACCGGAGCUAAUACCGGAUAAUAUAUUGAACCGCAUGGUUCAAUAGUGAAAGACGGUUUUGCUGUCACUUAUAGAUGGAUCCGCGCCGCAUUAGCUAGUUGGUAAGGUAACGGCUUACCAAGGCAACGAUGCGUAGCCGACCUGAGAGGGUGAUCGGCCACACUGGAACUGAGACACGGUCCAGACUCCUACGGGAGGCAGCAGUAGGGAAUCUUCCGCAAUGGGCGCAAGCUUGACGGAGCAACGCCGCGUGAGUGAUGAAGGUCUUCGGAUCGUAAAACUCUGUUAUUAGGGAAGAACAAAUGUGUAAGUAACUAUGCACGUCUUGACGGUACCUAAUCAGAAAGCCACGGCUAACUACGUG